rnacentral:rRNA from 1 species
GAUGAACGCUGGCGGCGUGCCUAAUACAUGCAAGUAGAACGCUGAAGGAGGAGCUUGCUCUUCUGGAUGAGUUGCGAACGGGUGAGUAACGCGUAGGUAACCUGCCUGGUAGCGGGGGAUAACUAUUGGAAACGAUAGCUAAUACCGCAUGACAACAGUUAUUGCAUGAUAACUGUUUAAAAGGGGCAACUGCUCCACUACCAGAUGGACCUGCGUUGUAUUAGCUAGUUGGUGAGGUAACGGCUCACCAAGGCGACGAUACAUAGCCGACCUGAGAGGGUGAUCAGCCACACUGGGACUGAGACACGGCCCAGACUCCUACGGGAGGCAGCAGGAGGGAAUCGGCGGCAAUGGACGGUAGUCUGAGCGAGCAACGCCGCGGGAGUGAGGAAGGUUGUCGGAUCGGAAAGGUCGGUUGUAAGAGAAGAACGAGUGUGAGAGUGGAAAGUUCACACUGUGACGGUAUCUUACCAGAAAGGGACGGCUAACUACGUG